rnacentral:rRNA from 1 species
AACGAACGCUGGCGGCAGGCCUAACACAUGCAAGUCGAGCGAGGACUUCGGUUCUAGCGGCGGACGGGUGAGUAACGCGUGGGAAAGUGCCCUUCUCUACGGAAUAGCCCUGGGAAACUGGGAGUAAUACCGUAUACGCCCUAUUGGGGAAAGAUUUAUCGGAGAAGGAUCAGCCCGCGUUGGAUUAGGUAGUUGGUGGGGUAAUGGCCUACCAAGCCGACGAUCCAUAGCUGGUUUGAGAGGAUGAUCAGCCACACUGGGACUGAGACACGGCCCAGACUCCUACGGGAGGCAGCAGUGGGGAAUCUUAGACAAUGGGGGCAACCCUGAUCGAGCCAUGCCGCGUGAGUGAUGAAGGCCUUAGGGUUGUAAAGCUCUUUCAGCUGGGAAGAUAAUGACGGUACCAGCAGAAGAAGCCCCGGCUAACUCCGUG